CCUUAUGUUAAAGGUGGUCACUUCCAACUGAAGCAAAGAUUUGAGGCAAGAUAGUUUUAUGAAGCUGUCCAAGAACAAGGUGGCCGUCCUCAGAUGAGGGGAGGGGCCAGAGGAUGGGAGAACCUUGUUGUGGGUCAAAUGCAGAUGGGAGCUGAAUGUUUCAACAGCAUUUAAAGCCAACAUGGAGAAAGAAAUGGACAUCAACAUUUGAGGCCAUGAUGGAGUGUGGAACUGGACCACCCUGGACACACGGAGGGUGCACCUCUGCAGAUUGACGCGUUCUUCAUAUUCACUCUCCUGGAGCUUUGUGCAUGGAGACCUGCGUCUGUUGUCCAGUCCCUUACCUGAACCUUUACGCUGCUCCUCCACCCAUCCACCAGUCCUCCUGCAGAUCGCUGUCACCAGCCAGACUCAGAGCCGCGGUGCAUUUGCCUCCUCCCAGACUUCCCCACACCCUGCCCACUUGCAGCCCUGGAAAUCAGCCCGGAUUCUGAUCAACCGUCAUUUUGUUCUAUUGUAAAUAAACCUGUUCAACCUUUAUCUGACACGGCGUUCUUGCUGCUGCACCAGAGUUCGAUCUCAUAUCAUGACACAUUUUCCCUCUUCAUAGCAACUGCUU